rnacentral:rRNA from 1 species
CCUACGGGUGGCAGCAGUCGAGAAUCAUUCACAAUGGGGGAAACCCUGAUGGUGCGACGCCGCGUGGGGGAAUGAAGGUCUCUGGAUUGUAAACCCCUGUCAUGUGGGAGCAAAUUAAAAAGAUAGUACCACAAGAGGAAGAGACGGCUAACGCUGUGCCAGCAGCCGCGGUAAUACAGAGGUCUCAAGCGUUGUUCGGAAUCACUGGGCGUAAAGCGUGCGGAGGCGGUUUCGUAAGGCGUGUGUGAAAGGCGCGGGCUCAACCCGCGGACGGCACAUGAUACUGCGAGGCUAGAGUAAUGGAGGGGGAAGCGGAAUUCUCGGUGUAGCGGUGAAAUGCGUAGAUA